AACGAAGUAGCAAUACUUAGUGGCAAACGGGUGAGUAAUAUGUGGGAAUCUACCCUUCGGUCUGGAAUAACAUGAGGAAACUCAUGCUAAUACCGGAUAAGCCUUUACAGGGAAAGCUUUAUGCUCCGAUUGAUGAGUCCACACUUGAUUAGUUAGUUGGUGAGGUAAUAGCUCACCAAGACAAUGAUCAAUAGCUGAUUUGAGAGGAUGAUCAGCCACAUUGGGACUGAGACACGGCCCAAACUCCUACGGGAGGCAGCAGUGAGGAAUCUUGCACAAUGGGGGAAACCCUGAUGCAGCGAUGCCGCGUGAGUGAAGAAGGCCCUUGGGUUGUAAAGCUCUUUCGUCGGGGAAGAAAAUGACUGUACCCGAAUAAGAAGGUCCGGCUAACUUCGUGCCAGCAGCCGCGGUAAUACGAAGGGACCUAGCGUAGUUCGGAAUUACUGGGCUUAAAGAGCACGUAGGUGGUUAAAAAAGUUGGUGGUGAAAUCCCAGAGCUCAACUCUGGAACUGCCAUCAAAACUUUUUAGCUAGAGUGUGAUAGAGGAAAGUAGAAUUUCUAGUGUAGAGGUGAAAUUCGUAGAUAUUAGAAAGAAUACCAAUUGCGAAGGCAACUUUCUGGAUCACUACUGACACUGAGGUGCGAAAGCAUGGGUAGCGAAGAGGAUUAGAUACCCUCGUAGUCCAUGCCGU
rnacentral:rRNA from 1 species